GCCUGGAAACUUACAGAAAUUUCUCUUUAUCCUGGAAGUUGAGGGCUUUUUACAGGAUAUUUCUAGAUGUGUGCCUUUUUUUCUCAAUCCAGGCUGGAAUUCAAUGAGCCCUUUUAAAUAACAAGUCUUUUUUAAUCACAGAAGCAUUUUCUCUUUCUCUUUCUCUCUCUCUCUUUCUUUGUUUUGACAGAGUCUCACUCUGUUGCCCAAGCUGGAGUGCAGUGGCAUGAUCACAGCUCACUGCAGCCUUGACCUCCGACUCAAGUGUUCCUCCCACCUCAACUUCAUCAUUUAUUUAAUCCCUGUACUUCCUCCAACAAUUCCUUUUCUCCUUCUUGAAUUUCUGUUUCUUAAAUUAGGUCUCCUGGAUCAAUCCUCUAAGCCUUUUAUCAUGGCAAAAUUGCAUGGGCAUUAAGAAGCAAAAACAUGUGAUUAACAACAGCACAGCAAACCACCACGGCACAUGUUUACCUAUGUAACAAACCUACACAUCCUUCACAUGUAUCCUGGAACUUAAAAUAAAAUUAAGUUAAAUUUAAAACAACAACAACAACAACAACAAACCAGCACUUCACAGCACAGUGACAGAAGCGCAACUACCUGGGUCUGAACACCAGCUGUGCAACCCUGGGAUUGUUCCUUACCCCUCUGAGCCUCAGUUUCCUCAGCUGUGACAUGGGUUGUGACAGUGAAAUGAUCCCUCAGAGUUCCUUCCCUAGACUCACUGGAGAAAACAGCAUAUCCAGGGGCACAAAGUGAUAUUAUACAGAAGGCACAGACAACAAAUUAACAGAACUCUGCUGCUCUAGGACAUAGCUCCUUCAAUUCCUGGCCUUUGGAUCAGGUGACAGAAGGGCCACUCUCUAAAUAUCUCCUUCCAGUACCAUCAUUUCUGCACUGGCUAGUAAGGACCAAAUGUGGCCCCUGUUCCUUUCCUCCCAUUCUGCUUUUGGGUAGUGGCUGCUUCCUGCUGAGACAGCAUGUUUUUGGGCACUCCCUCUGGGAACAUGGCAUAAGAGGGAGUCAGAAGCCUUCCUCUCAUCUCUGCCUCCAAGUCUAUCACCUUAGACAAGUCGCUGAUCCUCUCCAAGCCUCAGUUUUUUUUUUCAUCUAAAAAAUAAAGGUGGAAAAGUGAAACCACAUUCCUGUUUGAUUUCUGACAGCUUUGGCUGCCUGCCUUUUCCUUCCUCACCAAGAUGAUUGGCUGCCGUGUUGUCCCACUUUAUCUUCAAGAGCCCCCAGCCUUCCUGAGCCACCUUCUCUUUGGAGGGAGAUCUGUAUUUACCAAAUAUCUAUGUAUUUAUUGAAUAUCUGUUUGAUUUAUUUUA
rnacentral:lncRNA from 10 species